UAGGGAAUCUUCGGCAAUGGACGAAAGUCUGACCGAGCAACGCCGCGUGAGUGAAGAAGGUUUUCGGAUCGUAAAACUCUGUUGUUAGAGAAGAACAAGGACGUUAGUAACUGAACGUCCCCUGACGGUAUCUAACCAGAAAGCCACGGCUAACUACGUGCCAGCAGCCGCGGUAAUACGUAGGUGGCAAGCGUUGUCCGGAUGUAUUGGGCGUAAAGCGAGCGCAGGCGGUUUCUUAAGUCUGAUGUGAAAGCCCCCGGCUCAACCGGGGAGGGUCAUUGGAAACUGGGAGACUUGAGUGCAGAAGAGGAGAGUGGAAUUCCAUGUGUAGCGGUGAAAUGCGUAGAUAUAUGGAGGAACACCAGUGGCGAAGGCGGCCCCCUGGACGAAGACUGACGCUCCGGUGCGAAAGCGUGGGGAGCAAACAGG
rnacentral:rRNA from 1 species